UUGGCUCCCACUGAAAAGAGAUGGACAGAGAAGAGGACAGAGUGGAGGCUGAGAGGAGGGUAGAUAGCAGGAGAGGAGAGAAAGGAAUGAGGGAAUGAAGAGGAGAGGAUGGAGAAAAAGGAGAGUUUACAAGGAAAGUUAGGGGGAAACAAAGAUGAGUGUCAAGUCAAACUGGGAGAAGCUGAAACCUCAUAGAAAGAAGAAGCUGAAAUCUGAUAGAAAGAAGAAGCAUUCACACAGGUGCUACACUCAGCUGGGGCGGAACCAAUUUGCGGCUGCAGGUUUGCUACCUGCAGCAUAAAAAGGGACACACGCAGCACUGAGGAGGAACGGAGAAUGAAUGACCUCCUCAAACAAAGUGGCUGUGAGCGUGAGGAUCUGCGGCAAACUGUGCAGGACUGCUUCAUCUACAAAAAUCCGGAUAGCAGCCGGAGGAAGCAGAGAACCCAGAGAAAACCCACGCAUGCACAGGGAGACCAUGCAAACUCCAUGCAGAAAGGGACACAAACCAAGGAUCUUCUAGCUGCAAGGCGAAAGUGCUAACCAACGAGCCACUGUGCAGCUCCAUUUCUGUAGCUGUUGUAAAAUACAAGCUGUUAAGAUAUGAAGACAUUCACUUCUGCCAUUCCUCAAGUCCCCUCACAACUGGUUCAGAUUCCCACCCGCUCAUUCCUUCAAGUCUGGACCAUCCGGAACCACCUCGUGCUCUCGUCAGUUCCAUCACGGCCACAGCCAGGAUUCCACCGCUGCAGCACCUGUCCACCCAGGCUGAUCUCCAUCUGCCACAGGCCGCCUCGCCAGCCCUACCCCGCCCCACCAUCGUUUCCUACCCAGGGCAGUUAAGUUCCAUGCUUCAAUAUGAGCCAGGUGGCGGACGAUUGGACGUGUGCUGAACCUGUGCCACGCAGGACCGACCGCCGCAUUCUCUGUCCCAGGAUAAUGACAUCAUCCUCACCUUGUCCUGACUUCCUGUCUCCCGGCGUAGCCGCCUGUCUGGAAUGUUGGCACCCGGCCGGGAAACAAACAAAUACACACACAUUCAUUUGUACAAACACAUCCUCACACACUCACAGGGAAGGUAAAGAAAAUGUUGACACCAUCUUUUAUAUUAAUACAGUUGUACGCUGUGAACACUUGUGAAGACCUUGUUUAUCAUGUCUCGAGUUUCCAGUGAACUUAAUUUUCUCUGAUGGAAUGAUUAAAACAUGUGCAUCCAGAAGCUUGCCAGACGCUUGUGGACGUCAAGCAAAAGUGGCAUACUCAGGUAAAAGUGACCAAAGAAUAUUUAACCAAAUAUUUGAAUUGCCGUAUGUAUAGUUUUGACCAUGGCUUCACGAUGGCUCGCUGGUUAGCACUUCAGCCUUCCUGCUAGAAGAUCCCUGAUUCAUGUCCUGGCCUUCCUAGAAUAUUUCUGCAUGGAGUUUGCAUGUUCUCCCUGUGCAUGCGUGGGUUUUCUCUGGGUACUCUGGCUUCCUCCCACAGUCCAAAAGCAUGCUGAGGUUAAUUGGUGAUUCUAAAUCGUCCAUAUGUGUGAAUGUGAGUGUGAUUGUUUGUCUGUAUAAGUAGCCCUGUGAUAGACAGAUGACCUGUCCAGGGUGUCCCCUGCCUUCGCUCUAAGUCAGCUGGGAUAGACUCUAGCUCUCCCGCAACUCUAAUGAGGAUUAAGCGGUGUAUAGAUGAUGGAUGGAUGGAUGAAUGGAUGGAUAUUUUUGACCCAUCGGAUUUUGUGAUAUUUCCAGAAGACCUAGAAUAAAGCUAUGAAAGAAGCAAAAUGCGUGAUUGUUUAUUUUUGUGUGUGCGAGUGUGUGUGUGUGUGUGUGUGUGUGUGUGUCUGUGACAUGGAUGCACAUAUUUCAAUCAUCGAAAAUUCAGAGUUACAGGAGCCAUUGUAAAUUCAAGGGUGUGAUGAUAUACAUUUUUACAAGUGCACGUAAACUGCGUAUCUUUUGUAAAGGCAUAUGCAACAAACCUGAGCUGCACUGUGUUUAGAAGCUUUUACUGAUUACUGAUGCAUUUUCAUUUCCUGGAAGUAGAAAAAGACACCACAGCAAAAUAAAUAAAUACAUUAAAAAAUGAGUCAACCUUGUGGAAUAAUUUAAGCACAGUCACACUGUAAAAAAUAAGUCAAAUAUUUGAUUAUUCUAUUACAGUGACUACUGGAAGAUUUUGUCUUAAUUUCAAACUUUGUCUAAGCAGAUAACAUUAUUGAUUGUUAAGAUAUGGGUUGAAAGGAGCCAUGUUAUUACUAUACAAAAAGGGUCCGCUUCUAGCAGUCAAAUUUCAAGGCCUUCUAUGAUGUAUCAUUGGACUCAUGUCUCAGUUUUUACAGAUUUGAGCGCACACAUUUCAGUCAGGUGUCAGACUGGCUUUCAGGCCGCAGAUUAGAGUUUCCUCUUAUUGUUUCUGUUUCUUUGAUGUCUAAAAAAUACAAGCCUAUUACAGCUGAACUUCCCAAACAUAAUGACACCAUUGUCCUUGUCCAAUAAUUUCAGUUCCAGAGCUGUGCGAACUGAACAGCUCUGAAUAAAAUACAUUUUCAAAAGUACUUGUUUGCAAAUGUGAACACGCUUUUAAAUGCAGAAAUGGUUUAAUUAUUGGUGGGUGAUGUGACAUUGCAUGCAAGUAAUUCCUGCUGAGUGAUGUUACCGCACUCAAAAAUAAGGAUUAACAGUGAAAUCAGUCAAUUGCAGCAGCUGAGUCCCGUUUUGAUUUCUGUGUAUCACCCCUGCUGAAGUUCUGUCAGUAUGCACUUGUCAAUCAAACCCAUUUCACUUGUUCUCAGUUCCCCAUUUUCGCAAGUUGUGUUUUCCUGGCCAUGAGCUUUGUUUGUCUGCUGACCUGCCAUCCUCCCUGUAAGCUUUGAUUGUUGGCAUUUAU